rnacentral:lncRNA from 1 species
CCUGAAGACAGCACUGUGCGACAAGGAAACGAAGAAGGCUAGCAGCCAGGGACACCUGAGAAUAAUACCUGCAGGAAGUGCUUCCUACAGGUGAAUGAAUGCGCAAUAAAGUGGGUCCACCCCCGGAGAGACUACAGAUGCAGACCUGACUGCAGACCUGGCUGCAUGGAGCGUGAAGAACUGGAGCCAGUGACCCAGCCCAUCACACCUGUACGCACUCGCUCAGUUCCAUGUCGGACCAGUAUCAGUGCUGCACGAAGGGCACUACUGCCGCUCAGAGAUGCUUACAUCAUACUUUUCACCAGGCCACUUAGGCCUCCCUCAGUAUGAGAAAUUCUCUUAGUCAUCUCUGCCCUUUGGUCUGGAGCCCCAGAAGGAGUACACGUGAAGGAGACUUGCAUUCCACCCAGUAAGAAGACAAACCCAGGCAGAACACAACAGGAUGCGGACUACCAGCCAAGCACAGCCUACACUGGCCAUUCCACAUUCAACCAGCAGAAGAUGAUCUGAGAAUAAGGUAUUGGAUAAGCUGAGUUAUGAGAGUUUGUUAUUAAAUAUCAUUGAGGGAAU